UUAACAAAAACAUGUCUUUUUGAGUUAUUUUUAAAGUCUGCCCUGCCCACUGAAAUUAUUUAAAUGGCCGCAGUAUUCUAACUGUGCAAAGGUAGCAUAAUCAUUAGUCUUUUAAUUGAAGGCUGGUAUGAAUGGUUGGACGAGGUAUAAGCUGUUUCAUAUAAAUUUAUAAUAGAAUUUUAUAUUUUAGUCAAAAAGCUAAAAUUUAAUUAAAAGACGAGAAGACCCUAUAAAUCUUUAUACUUUAUGUUGUUUAAAUUUUUUAGAUUGGUUUUAUUUUUAUAGUUUAAAGUAUUUUGUUGGGGUGAUGUUAAAAUUUAAUGAACUUUUAAUUAUUAAAAAUCAUUAAUUUAUGAUUUAUUGAUCCAUUAGUAGUGAUUAUAAGAUUAAGUUACUUUAGGGAUAACAGCGUAAUUUUUUUGGAGAGUUCAUAUCGAUAAAAAAGUUUGCGACCUCGAUGUUGGAUUAAGAUAUAUUUUUAGGUGUAGCCGCUUAAAUAUUAAGUCUGUUCGACUUUUAAAUUCUUACGUGAUCUGAGUUC
rnacentral:rRNA from 1 species